CAACAGGGAUUGCCUCAGUAACGGCGAGUGAAGCGGCAACAGCUCAAAUUUUAAAGCUGGCGUCUUUGGCGUCCGCAUUGUAAUUUGGAGAGGCAUCUUCGGUUUGGGCGCCAGCCUAUGUUCCUUGGAACAGGACGUCACAGAGGGUGAGAAUCCCGUGCUUGCCGGCUGUCCCAUUCCAUGUGAAGUGUCUUCGACGAGUCGAGUUGUUUGGGAAUGCAGCUCAAAAUGGGUGGUAAAUUUCAUCUAAAGCUAAAUAUUGGUGGGAGACCGAUAGCUCACAAGUAGAGUGAUCGAAAGAUGAAAAGCACUUUGAAAAUAGAGUUAAAAAGUACGUGAAAUUGUUGAAAGGGAAGCGCUUGAGACCAGACUCGGCCGGGGAUGAUCAGCUGUCCUUCUGGGCAGUGCACUUGUCUCUGGUCGGGCCAGCAUCGGUUGAGACGGCGGGACAAAGGCUUCGGGAACGUGGCUCCUUUCGGGGAGUGUUAUAGCCCGUCGCGUAAUGCCGCCAGCCUCGACCGAGGACCGCGCUUCGGCUAGGAUGCUGGCGUAAU
rnacentral:rRNA from 1 species